UACGGAGGGUGCGAGCGUUAUUCGGAAUUACUGGGCGUAAAGCGCGUGUAGGCGGGGAUGCAAGUCUGUUGUGAAAGCCCCGGGCUUAACCUGGGAAGUGCAUUGGAAACUGCAUUUCUUGAGUGCUGGAGAGGAAGGGGGAAUUCCCGGUGUAGAGGUGAAAUUCGUAGAGAUCGGGAGGAAUACCAGUGGCGAAGGCGCCCUUCUGGACGGCAACUGACGCUGAGACGCGAAAGCGUGGGGAGCAAACAGGAUUAGAUACCCUGGUAGUCCACGCUGUAAACGAUGAUCACUAGGUGUAGCGGGUAAUCAUUCCUGCUGUGCCGCAGCUAACGCGUUAAGUGAUCCGCCUGGGGAUUACGGUCGCAAGACUAAA
rnacentral:rRNA from 1 species